rnacentral:rRNA from 1 species
GAACGCGAAGAACCUUACCAGGUCUUGACAUCCCUCUGACCGCUCUAGAGAUAGAGUUUUCCUUCGGGACAGAGGUGACAGGUGGUGCAUGGUUGUCGUCAGCUCGUGUCGUGAGAUGUUGGGUUAAGUCCCACAACGAGCGCAACCCCUAUUGUUAGUUGCCAUCAUUUAGUUGGGCACUCUAGCGAGACUGCCGGUAAUAAACCGGAGGAAGGUGGGGAUGACGUCAAAUCAUCAUGCCCCUUAUGACCUGGCUACACACGUGCUACAAUGGCUGGUACAACGAGUCGCAAGCCGGUGACGGCAAGCUAAUCUCUUAAAGCCAGUCUCAGUUCGGAUUGUAGGCUGCAACUCGCCUACAUGAAGUCGGAAUCGCUAGUAAUCGCGGAUCAGCACGCCGCGGUGAAUACGUUCCCGGGUCUUGUACACACC